rnacentral:snRNA from 1 species
CUCACUUUGGUGAUAGACAUACUAAAACUGGAAUGAUACAGAGAAGAUUAUUAUGGCGCCUGCAUAACGGUGAUAUGCAAAUUCAUGAAUUGUUCCAUAUUUUU